rnacentral:rRNA from 1 species
AUGCCGGGGAUGGAGGAAGCAGAGGACUACGCGUCGUGCGCCUUCUCGCUCACUUGCCCCGAAGACGGCGCCGAGCUCGGGGACGGCGUCGUGGACGACGGCGACCUCUUCUUGUUCUACGCCGGCGGCGGCGCCGCCGACGAUGAGGACGGCGACAAUGAGUACGUGGAGCAGCUGGUCUCCAAGGAGGCCAGCUUCUGCUCCUCCUCUGACUCGGGCGACGCCGACUGCUCGUCGGCCGCCUCCGAGGACUGGUUCCUGCAGGCGCGCCUCGCCGCCGUCAAAUGGAUCCUUGAAACGCGGGGCUGCUUCGGGUUCGGCCACCGCACGGCGUACCUGGCCAUCGCCUACUUCGACCGCUUCUUCCUCCGGCGACGCGUCGAUAGGGCGGCCAUGCCGUGGGCGGCGCGGCUCCUGUCCGUGGCCUGCGUCUCCGUGGCGGCCAAGAUGGAGGAGUACUGCGCGCCGGCGCUGUCGGAGCUCGACGCCGGCGGCGGCUACGAGUUCUGCUCCGCCUCCGUCCGCCGGAUGGAGCUGCUCGUCCUGUCCACGCUCGGCUGGCGCAUGGCCGCCGUUACGCCCUUCGACUACCUCCCCUGCUUCUCCUCCCGUCUCGACCGGCACGACGGCCGCGGCGGCGGCGGGCAUGACCCCGCCCGCGUCGCCCUCAAGUCCAUCGGCUUCAUCUUUGCCACAGCCGAAGCCGGCAGUGUGCUGGAUUACAGGCCAUCUACUGUGGCUGCAGCUGCAAUCCUGGCUGCAUCCUAUGGAGCUCUACUGACCAAAGAAGCACUGGAGUCCAAGAUGGACAAUCUAUCUCCAUCAUGCCCCAUUGAGAAGGAGCAUGUACAUGCCUGCUACAGCAUGAUGGUUGGCGACUUGAGAAACAGAAAGAGCAAUGGCAAGAGAUCAUUGCCAUGUUCAGACUCCAAUGAAGUUGCCACCAGUACAUAUGAUUCUGUUCUUGUUGAUGAUGUUGCCGACACCGCCGCCUUCAUGGCCGCGGUGUCGGAGAUGAACAAGCGGAUCAGACUGGAGCCGCCGGGAAUCCAUUGA